CAAGUUAGAGCUUAUAAAGCAUUUUAGUUACAUUAAAAAGUUAAUUGUUAAAUUCAAUUUAAUUUG
rnacentral:tRNA from 1 species